rnacentral:rRNA from 1 species
AUACGGAGGACGCGAGCGUUAUCCGGAUUCAUUGGGUUUAAAGGGUGCGCAGGCGGCCGUGCAAGUCAGCGGUGAAAGCCCGGGGCUCAACCCCGGAAGUGCCGUUGAUACUGCAUGGCUGGAAUGCGGUCGAGGCGGGCGGAACGUGGCGUGUAUCGGGGAAAUUCGUAAAUAUGCCACAGAACCACGAUAGCGGAGGCAGCUCGACAGGCCUGCAUUGACGCUCGGGCACGAAAGCGUGGGGAUCGAACAGGAUUAGAUACCCUGGUAGUCCACGCCGUAAACGAUGGGCGCUCGUCGUCGGCGGCAGACAGUCGGCGGCCAAGCGAAAGCGAUAAGCGCCCCACCUGGGGAGUACGGUCGCAAGGCUGGAACUCAAAUGAAUUGACGGGG